CUUACAGCACAGUUGCUUAACUUUAGAUGUUCUUGUCUUCUGCUCUGUUAAUUGAACGUUAAUCACACACAGGAGGCUGUUGUUGUCUAUAGUACGAUAUUAAGGGGAUACUAUAGGCACAUAGACCAUGAAAUUUCAAUGCGUUGUUUUGAGUGUCAUGUUUGCACCACCCUGUUUUAAUCCCGCAAGUAAAAACAUUGCCGUUCAGCAGAAUGCCUCUAGUGGCUGUCACCCAGACACUACUUUGCGCACUAGUCUCACAAUAUUUUCUUAAGGUAAAACACUGGAUUGGCUGAGAUAACCCACCAAGGAGAUGGAACGGCAGCGAGGAGACCAGCACUGCCAAGGAGAAAAGGAUAAGUCCAAUUGCUUUUUUUAAAUCCCUAUAGGUGGAUGUCAAUAACCUAACCGGCCAGCAAGGUACUAUAGCAUUAGAAAUACACAUUUGUAUUCCUUACGUUACAGUGUUCCUUUAGCAAAGCAGAAAAUGAGAAACAAACAUUUCAGGAAGUGUGUAGGGAGGCUGUGUGAGUCUCAGCCAUGUGAGAUGUGUCUAGGGCUGAAUAAACAAAGUGAUUUAAGUACUAAAUGGAAGAGAAUUGAACAGUGAGAUUGCAGGGGCAUGAACUAUACACCAACACCACUUUAUGAUGUUAAAGUUGUUUUGGUCCUUCAAGUUGUGGUGACAUUCUGUCAUCAAACUAAUAUGGUGACCAGGGGUCAUGUGACCAAGCUUACAGUGGGAUAAGCUUUACCCUUUUGAAAUGGUAAUUGGGUAAUUCAAUACCUUUACAAGUCAGGAGAGAGAUAACCACUUCCCCCUUUCUCCAUUCCUCUCUGUUCCUUCUUGGCUGUGCUGCAGAGCAGAUGUGCAGACGCCAUGUGCUAGCAUGGUGAACCAUGUUACUCUCUGUUGCUUCCUUUUCUUCCUUGGUGGAUGUGAUGUUGAACUUGCAGCAGUGAGUCAUUACUAGAUAUGAAGGCCUAACCGUGGG